rfam:Candidate division WOR-1 bacterium RIFOXYB2_FTLL_37_13 rifoxyb2_full_scaffold_378, whole genome shotgun sequence.
UGGCGGAUCGGCUAAUGGUAGGCCAUCGCCCUUUGGAGGCGACAGUCGGGGUUCAAAUCCCUGUCCGCCAG